rnacentral:rRNA from 1 species
UACGUAGGGGCCUAGCGUUGUCCGGAUUUAUUGGGCGUAAAGAGCUCGUAGGCGGUUCGGUAAGUUAGGUGUGAAAUCUCCACGCUCAACGUGGAGGGGCCACCUGAUACUGCCGUGACUCGAGUCCGGUAGGGGAGUGUGGAAUUCCCGGUGUAGCGGUGAAAUGCGCAGAUAUCGGGAGGAACACCAGUAGCGAAGGCGGCACUCUGGGCCGGAACUGACGCUGAGGAGCGAAAGCGUGGGUAGCAAACAGG